UGCAGCGUUGGGUGCGCUCUGAGCCGGGAACGCUCAGGCAGGCGAGAUUCGCGAGAGUUUUGGUUUUUAGCGGUCCUCCUCUGUCACUCACUCCCAGCCUGAGAGGCUCAGAUAAGCCAGACCCCUGGAUCUGGGGAGGAAAGGGGCAUGGUGGGCACCAGCGCAGAACGCCUCGCGUCACAAAUGUGAAGACUGAGACGAUUCAGCAACUAAAGGCCCAGGAUUACACCUCAGGUCUCCUCGCGGAGUCACACCUCCAGGAUAUUUUUUUCUUUUAACAAGUAUCUCGCGGACUUCCCUGGUGGCACAGUGGUUAAGAAUCCACCUGCCAAUGUAGGGGACAUGGGUUCGAUCCCUGGUCCAGGAAGAUCCCACAUGCUGCGGAGCAACUAAGCCCACGCGCCACAACAACUGAAGCCCGCGUGCCUAGAGCCCGUGCUCUGCAACAAGAGAAGCCACCGCAAUGAGAAGCCCGCGCACCACAACGAAGAGCAGCCCCCGCUCGCCUCAACUAGAGAAAGCCCACAGGCAGCAGCGAAGACCCAACGCAGCCAAAAAAAACCCACCAUUUUUUUCUUUACCUUUAUGGGGAAAUAAUUUAUAUAAAAUACGUUUAAUAAAUUUAAAGUGUACAAUUUAGUUUU